rnacentral:lncRNA from 12 species
AUUCUGGUUCAGUAGGUGUGAGGUGGGGCCUGCGGUUCUGCAUUUCUGAGCAGAAUGACCAUGCUGAUGGUCCACAUAUCAUACUAUGGGGAGCAGUGUUCUACGAGGACCUACCAGAUGGAAUGCUGUCUCUGUGGGAAAUGCACUAGAUUCUCAUUUGGGGAAAAUGUAUUUCUGAAAUAUCAGAUAUGGGAAUAAUGCAUGGUGAAAAGGCUCCAGAAUUCCAUCAGAACUACAGGUCAUCCACGACACAGAUUAAGGAAGCUCUUGCGGGCUGCUUUGUGAAUCAACAACUAAAUGAUCUCCUUGUGUGCAUGACGUUGGUGUCAUGGAGACAGGGCCAUAGCACCAGGCGGUCACAGUGCUAUGGAGACUGGGAAGAGGAAUAUGGAAAUAUAAAUUCAGAUCUGAGUUGGGACCCUGGCUUCCCUCCGAUGAGAUGUGUGAUUCUGGAAAGCGUUUAAACAUCUGUGGACCAUAGUUUUGUCAUGUGUUGUGGAAAAGGAGACAACUCCUCUCUCAGCUCCAAGUGAGACUGCUGUGUUGGCCAGGGUCAUCCUCUGCCAUCCAGGAACUUUGGUAUCCAGCUCCUCAAGAAAACUAGAGGCUCCUGAGUGAACUACCUGUGAUUUCAAGUUUCUUACCUGCUGGGAAUUCUCUGGGACCUAAUCAUUCCUAGGUAGGUAAGGUUUUAAUAAACGGACCAAAACAUGGCA